AUGACUUUGAUCUGCGUCCUCAUCUGGACUCUCCUCUGCUGCUGCUUCACAGAGUCCAGAGGCCAGGUCACAGUGACUCAGCCUGGAUCAGUGAGGUGUGGUCUGGGAGGAACUGUCACCAUCAACUGUAGAACCAGUCAGAAUGUUUAUUACUACAGCGACUAUUACAGCACCUACCACUAUUUAGCCUGGUACCAACAGAGAGAUGGAGGAGUUCCUAAACGUCUAAUUUAUUAUACUAGUACUAGAGCAUCAGGGAUUCCACAUCGUUUUUCAGGCAGUGGAUCAAACUCUGAUUUCACUCUGACCAUCAGUGGAGUCCAGACUGAAGAUGCAGCAGUUUAUUACUGUCAGAGUCUUCACAAUCCCAACAGUCAGUAUGUGUUCACACAGUGA